rnacentral:rRNA from 1 species
AUUGAACGCUGGCGGCAGGCCUAACACAUGCAAGUCGAACGGUAACAGGAAGCAGCUUGCUGCUUUGCUGACGAGUGGCGGACGGGUUGGUAAUGUCUGUGAAACUGCCCGAGGGAGGGGGAUCACUACUGGACACGGUAGCUACUACCGCAUAGCGUCGCAAGACCAAAGAGGGGGACCUCAGGGCCUCUUGCCAUCGGAUGUGCCCAGAUGGGAUUAGCUAGUUGGUGGGGUAACGGCUUACCUAGGCGACGAUCCGUAACUGGUCUGAGAGGAUGACCAGCCACACUGGAACUGAGACACGGUCCAGACUCCUACGGGAGGCAGCAGUGGGGAAUAUUGGACAAUGGGCGAAAGCCUGAUGCAGCCAUGCCGCGUGUAUGAAGAAGGUCUUCGGGUUGUAAAGUACUUUCAGCGGGGAGGAAGGGAGGAAAGUUAAUACCUUUGCGCAUUGACGUUACCAGCAGAAGAAGCACCGGCUAACUUCGUG